GACGAACGCUGGCGGCGUGCUUAACACAUGCAAGUCGAACGGAAAGGCCCUGCUUUUGUGGGGUUCUCGAGUGGCGAACGGGUGAGUAACACGUGAGUAACCUGCCCUUGACUUUGGGAUAACUUCAGGAAACUGGGGCUAAUACCGGAUAGGAGCUCCUGCUGCAUGGUGGGGGUUGGAAAGUUUCGGCGGUUGGGGAUGGACUCGCGGCUUAUGAGCUAGUUGGUGGGGUAGGGGCUUACCAAGGCUUUGACGGGUAGCCGGCCGGAGAGGGUGGCCGGCCACAUUGGGACUGAGAUACGGCCCAGACUCCUACGUGAGGCAGCAGUGGGGAAUCUUGCACAAUGGGCGGAAGCCUGAUGCAGCAACGCCGCGUGCGGGAUGACGGCCUUCGGGUUGUAAACCGCUUUCGCCUGUGACGAAGCGUGAGUGACGGUAAUGGGUAAAGAAGCACCGGCUAACUACGUG
rnacentral:rRNA from 1 species